UGGGUGGGAAGGGAAUCCCGACUCGCUGCAAAAUAGAGUCUGUGUGACUGUUCUGGGGACGCAAAAAACAACUGGCAACGACUUUACAACUUCAAGCAGUUCUUUGGAGAAAACUUGCUUCACUUCUGUCUCGUUUCCAGAACUUGCACAACACGAAACGCCAUCACGGGAUAUUUUAUUGCCUAACAAGCUGGAUAGGAGAUAAGGAAAUCGGAGCGAGGUGGAGGGCGGACACUGAUGAAGAACAACAUGAGCUAGCUGACAGGCCCACCGCUACCAUCCCUGUGCUGAUUCGGGAGCGGCGAAGAUGAACACACGCAGUCCUCCGAAGUGUGUGCUGUCAGCCAACCACUCCUUUUCACACAUCUGUGGUCAGCAAUGGAAUAGCCUGGACUUGAACCGGCGAUGUCCAGGCUAUAGGGCGUAUCCUGCACUUCAUGCAGAGUGCCUUUACCGGAUGUGUUACUCGGGAGCCCUCAAGACUGCAUUGUUUAUCAAUAACCGUAUACUGUACACUAUAUACAAUCUACAUGUUCAGUAUUAUAUAUGACCUGUAGUAUGUGAAUACGUCUGAUCUUAAAAUGUCAUACUUUGUACAACAGCUGUGAAAGAUAAAGAUAUUCUUUAAACAAAAUAUUGGCUGUCACUUUCUGUAUUGCCAAAAAAAAAAGGAAAAAGUUAUUAAAAAUGAAUGGCUAACCUUUUUUUAGAAGGUUUAAGUUGUCUACGGCGAUUACUGUGGAUCCAUUACAUCUGUUUAAAAUACACACUUCGCAAUGUCUGUUCACUUUUAUUUUAAGAAGGCUUUGCUGUCUGUUUAAAGU